GUGGACCUGAUAUCAGGUAAGAUUACCCGCUGAAUUUAAGCAUAUAACUAAGCGGAGGAAAAGAAACUAACAAGGAUUCCCCUAGUAACGGCGAGUGAAGCGGGAAGAGCUCAAGCUUAAAAUCUCUAUGGUAAUGUACCAUAGCGAAUUGUAGUCUAUUGAAGCUGUUGUCAGCAUCGUUAUCUGGGCCAAGUCCCUUGGAAGAGGGCAGCAUAGAGGGUGAUACUCCCGUCUUUGCCUGGGUAAUGUAUGCGUACGACACGCUUUCUUUGAGUCGAGUUGCUUGGGAUUGCAGCUCAAAGUAGGUGGUAAAUUCCAUCUAAAGCUAAAUAUAGGUGCGAGACCGAUAGCGAACAAGUACCGUGAGGGAAAGAUGAAAAGAACUUUGAAAAGAGAGUUAAAGAGUACCUGAAACUGCUGAAAGGGAAUCGAAUCGUAUCCAGUGUUUACUUAUCCUUGGUAUAUUCCAGUAGGAAGUUUGUUAUGCAUUAAUGUCUGGUUAGCAGUUGAUUCUGUAACCGAUGUUUUUGUUUUGUAACGACUUGCUGCUGCACUGUACCUUGGUGUGACGUCAAAGUCAGUUUGUAUCUCGUGGGAAAUGGUCAUAAAGGAGGUAGUUCACUACGUGUGAAUGUUAUAUCUUUGUGAUUGAGUUGUCAUGAGUGAGACUGAGGGACCUACACAACAUGCAAUUGAGUCUUGCUAGGAUGAAAUCUUGCCCAUUUCUAGGACUGCUUGUCAGUGCUAGAGAUGUUGUGAGGUUUCUAUCUCUGGUAAUAACUUGUGCUGUUCGGGACUUUGGCGAAAUGGAACGAUCCGUCCCGUCUUGAAACACGGACCAAGGAGUCUAACAUGUGUGCAAGUAUUAGGGUGGCAAACCCGAAAUGCGGAAUGAAAGUAAAGAGUGGCUUUACGCUACUUGAGGUAGGAAAGAUUGGUUCCCAACUUGUGUGGGGGCUAGUCUGGCACUAUCGACCGAUCAUGCGCCCAUGUGGCAAAAGAUUUGAGUAUGAGCAUAUAUGUUGGUACCCGAAAGAUGGUGAACUAUGCCUGAAUAGGGUGAAGCCAGGGGAAACUCUGGUGGAAGCUCGAAGCGAUUCUGACGUGCAAAUCGAUCGUCAAAUUUGGGUAUAGGGGCGAAAGACUAAUCGAACCAUCUAGUAGCUGGUUCCCUCCGAAAUUUCCCUCAGGAUAGCAGCAACUUGCCGUGAUAGUUUUAUGAGGUAAAGCGAAUGAUUAGAGGAUUCGGGGAUGAAACAUCCUCGACCUAUUCUCAAACUUUAAAUGGGUAAGACCUGUAGGUUUCUUUAUUGAACCUAUGGACKCGAAUAUCAUAGUUGCUAGUGGGCCAUACGGGGUAAGCUCGUCUGGCGAUGCGGGAUGAACCGAACGCAAAGUUAAAGUGCCAAAGUGCCCGCUCACCUAGAUACCAUAAAAGGUGUUGGUUCAUUUAGACAGCAGGACGGUGGCCAUGGAAGUCGGAAUCCGCUAAGG
rnacentral:rRNA from 1 species